AUGCUGGUGCCAGCAUGUGGUAUGUUGGUGCCUCUUGGUUUCAACAUCGAAACCUUCCUAUUAAACGUGUUCUGGUGCCUACAGGAAUAUUGCCAACUCAUUGAUGCUUAAUGUUUUGCAAGAAUAGCUUACAACCUUCCAGCGAGUGAGACAUUUGGGCAGUCACAGAUUUCUUAUGGGCGGAUGUUACAGAAUGUCCAAAAGAUUAGUCAGCUAAGGAGCCUAAAAUGUUGGCCUGUUUACAAAUUCUUUGACUACACAAGUACCUUACAAAAGAAGGCUACUCACUUGUGUUUGAAUAUGCCAGCCAUUUUGGUAAUAAAUCAAGUGUUGUUUUUUCUACUAUCUGUAAUGUUUGUAGAUUCUAAAGUUAGAAAGUGUUGUUGUUUUUUAAUGCCACAUUGCCUGUCAAUUCUGUUUAGUUUUUAUUUAUUCUUUUUUUUAUACAAUCCAUAUGGCCCCUUUCAAACACAACAGAUAUUAUUCUAAGCAACUUUUUUCUCUGGGAAUUAUUCAACCAUAGAAGCUGUGAGGGAUAUCUGAAAUCCAUUGCUUACUAGUCUAGAAAGACUUCCAUCCAUUGAGUGAUAAAAGAUUAAAUGUACACAACUUUUAGUAGUCACCACAUAACACUUACAUUUUGAUGCUCAAGACAAUACUGUUCAUGAAUGGUUUAGUUUUCUUUAUACCGAGAGUGUCCAAGAAAGAUAAGGUCAAAGGUUAAUUGGAGUUGUUUUUUUUUAUUGCUUUGAUGCUAUUAAAUUUCCCUUGUGUUUUUGUAUGAGUUUAAAAACAUUAACCAUACUUUUUGUUUUACAAAUGUAGGACAAACAAGUUAAUAAAAUUUGUCUUUGAAUCUGAAAUUGUAAAACUUAUAGAAAAAAAACAACAACUUACAGUGUUGUUGUUUUUUUAAUUUACCAGGUACCUACUAUUCAUUUACUUUGACUGUUGACUUUAAGUUAGAAAUUAAGGAAAGAUUUCUUUGAGCUAUAUUUGUCAAUGACCAUAGGCAUUAAGAGAGUUGACACCUCAUUUUAAUUUUCAACAAGAUGAUGUCUUAAAGAAAUUAAGAGCUUUUGAUGGAAUUCUGUGGUUGAAGUAAGUAAAGUAAAUCACAGGAUUCCAUCAAAAUCAUUGCAAAUUGAACAUUGUUGGUAGAGUCAAUGUUAUUAAGUUUACAUCAAGUAUUUAAUAGUAUGGUUCUUUGUUUUCCUAUAUUAUUCAUUUUCUAAUGACCAGGCAGUGUUUUAUACCAUGAAUGAAUAUCUGUUUAAAAGGUUUAGGGGAUACAACCCUAUCAAUAAUAUCUUUUACAAUAAAAUAUUCUGAUCAAGUUUAUAUUUUUGGAACAGAAUAUGCU
rnacentral:sRNA from 1 species